AUUGAACGCUGGCGGCAUGCCUUACACAUGCAAGUCGAACGGCAGCGGGGGAGAAGCUUGCUUUUCCUGCCGGCGAGUGGCGAACGGGUGAGUAAUACAUCGGAACGUGCCCUGUAGUGGGGGAUAACUAGUCGAAAGAUUAGCUAAUACCGCAUACGACCUGAGGGUGAAAGUGGGGGACCGCAAGGCCUCAUGCUAUAGGAGCGGCCGAUGUCUGAUUAGCUAGUUGGUGGGGUAAAGGCCUACCAAGGCGACGAUCAGUAGCUGGUCUGAGAGGACGAUCAGCCACACUGGGACUGAGAAACGGCCCAGACUCCUACGGGAGGCAGCAGUGGGGAAUUUUGGACAAUGGGCGAAAGCCUGAUCCAGCAAUGCCGCGUGUGUGAAGAAGGCCUUCGGGUUGUAAAGCACUUUUGUCCGGAAAGAAAUGACUCUGGUUAAUACCUGGGGUCGAUGACGGUACCGGAAGAAUAAGGACCGGCUAACUACGUGCCAGCCGCCGCCGUAA
rnacentral:rRNA from 1 species